rnacentral:rRNA from 1 species
CCCUUAGAUGUUCUGGGCCGCACGCGCGCUACACUGAUGCAUUCAACGAGUCUAAAACCUGGUCUGAUAGGGCUGGGUAAUCUUUUGAAAGUGCAUCGUGAUUGGGAUAGAUGAUUGCAAUUCUUCAUCUUCAACGAGGAAUGCCUAGUAAACGCAAGUCAUCAGCUUGCGUUGAUUACGUCCCUGCCCUUUGUACACACCGCCCGUCGCUCCUACCGAUUGAAUGAUCCGAUGAAUACCAUGGAUUGAGAGUACGAAUGGGUUCGCUCAUUUCUGCUGCUCGAGAAGUGGAGUAAAUCUUAUCAUUUAGAGGAAGGAGAAGUCGUAACA